rnacentral:misc_RNA from 1 species
CGGACAAAGUAUACUAACGUUCACUGCAACUUGGAAUAAUAAAUUACAGCAAUAUAAUAAAAAAAUGGGGAAUUAAUGAAGAGGUGUACAUUUAAUUUUUCAUUUAAUUAUUAGGUAGAUCUUGAGAUUCCAUCUUUGAUUUAAAACUCAAAAUUCAUAUCCCACUACAAUUGCGUUAGAAGAAUAUUAUCCUAUACUACGGCAAGACAAACAAAUAAAAAAAGUGAAAUAAAAAAAUUAAUAUUAUUAGACCUACAAAAUUGUCAGAAGCCAAGAAAGAAAGUGCUGUAGCAGAAUUAAUGCUGGUGCGAAUUGGGGUGGACAGGGACUGAAGAAACGCAUGAGCCAACAUCUGGCCGAGCUGAACCUGAGCAGGCGUUGUUAGGUGCAGUCUAUCAGGCUCAAGAGGCAGUCCCUUGGCGUCAACGCAUUGCACGUUAGGGAGGUUAAUUCCCAGUUGAGCUUCUCUUAUGGUCUCCGUAAAAGGUCCCUCUCCCGACGCCAGACCCACCUGGAUUAUUGGUAGCGUAGGAUAUUGCAGAUCGGCCCGGACUUCCUUGAAAAACUUUUCUAAUCUCCCUUUGUAGGCAUCGGCAUCUUCUCUAAUGAUCGUAUCACUCUCCCCUUGAUACCAAAGCAUCGCUCUAAGAUCGCCACCGCUCUUCAAGGCUGCUCGAGUUCUCCGCACCAACUGGUCAUAAAGGAAACCUCCCUUCGCCCAUUGACUUAUAUAUGUCCCUCCGAUUGCACAUGGCACCAGACCCAUUACCCCGAUGGUUGGGUCCUUGGUCAAGACUGCGUUAGCAAAUGCCAUUCCUGGUCCAAUCCCAUUGGUCUUGUUAUAAUCGAUGUCGGCGUGGAGAGGCUCGUGGGCUAGAACCCAUGUGAGGUUGGCACUUAGCCGGAAAAUUGAUGGGUUUGGUUGGCACUGGGGAGGAACAAUGCCAUCCCAAGUGAGUUUGCCGAUCUUAGUGUUGUUGAUCACGCCUCCCCGGCCGGCCAUGUUGCUUUGUCCGGCUAGGAUAAAUAUGUCUGUGGGAAGUCGUUGAGACGCGUCCAAGCGGCUGGCCUGUGAUACAAGCGCUAACAUUAAGAAGGCAAGCAUCCUGUAGGAUCUCUCACUUUGCGGUGUAAUGUCACCUAAGUUAGAGUCUCCUUCCCAGUUUUCUCUUUCCCAAAUCUCAGCCCAGUUUGAAAGCAAAGUUGUUAGCUUUUCUAUAUGCUCUCC